GACGAACGCUGGCGGCGCGCCUAACACAUGCAAGUCGAGCGAGAACCAGAGCUUCGGUUCUGGGGAAAGCGGCGAACGGGUGAGUAACACGUGGGUAAUCUGCCCUCGGCGCCGGGAUAGCCCGGGGAAACCCGGAUUAAUACCGGAUGGCCUCUCGCGCUCUCGGGCGCGAAAGAAAAGGUGGCUUCGGCUUCUGGCCGAGGAUGAGCCCGCGGCCGAUUAGCUUGUUGGUGAGGUAAUGGCNCACCAAGGCUCCGAUCGGUAGCUGGUCUGAGAGGACGAUCAGCCACACUGGGACUGAGACACGGCCCAGACUCCUACGGGAGGCAGCAGUGGGGAAUCUUGCGCAAUGGGCGAAAGCCUGACGCAGCGACGCCGCGUGCGGGAAGAAGGCCUGGUGUAACG
rnacentral:rRNA from 1 species